GUCGGCGGCACCGAGAAGGAACCCUUGGAACCGAAGGUGCUGCUGCUGGAAUCGGUCGCAUUGCUGCUGCUGCUCUUGGAGUUGUUACCUGGAUGGCAAAGCAAGCGCUCAGAUGCAAAACCAAGCAACCCAAGUUGGGUUCUUCAUCCCAACAGUGAAAAGGAGAAAAUUGAGAAACGCUCGUUCCUUCCUCUGAAGAAUUAACAGGGGCAAAACACAACCAAGAAGCAGAGCACACAAGCUAUCUUAGAGUUAGACACUUGAUGCAACCAAGAACCAUAGCAUAGCAUAGCAAAGCGGAGCUGAGUGGUACCUGUGGAGUUGGGGGCACUGAAGGAGGGGUUGAUCUCGGCGUUCCCCUGCACGCCGGCGCAGUUCCCCAUCAGGAAGGAGCAACAACAAUACCGGCCAGUCCAACCCCGAGGCACAAGAUUUGGUCUUCGAUAGUUUUUAGCUAGAACUGGUUGCUUCAUGUGGCCGUGUCAUUCCUUCCCUGCUCUGCCUGCCUGCUAGCUAUCAUUGCUGCCUGCGAGCGAGGGUGGUACUGGUAUGGUGGGAGAGGGGCAGCCGUGGCGUGGGGUCACUCGCCUCCCUCAUUAAUGAAGAGAAAGCCUUUUCUUCUCCUCUCUGCGUCCAUGUGAUUCAGCUGUUUGGCUUUUUGGCUGUUUUCUUUGGUUUUUCAUGCAUGCCCACCGUUGUUUGCGGCGAAACCAGACCGGGGUGGACUGAACUUCCAUGCCACAAAGGGGGAAUGUCUUCUAGGCCAUCUCUAGAGCGGUUCGAUCUAUUUCGAGCUUCAAGAUAUGUUUGUUUUGGUUUGUUUGGAGCAGUGAACAUAAAUUUAAUUUUAUUCUCCCUCUUAUUUGUU